rnacentral:lncRNA from 1 species
GGACAGCGAAGAAGUUCACGAGACACUUGGCAUGUUUUAGUGGUUUUGGAUUCCUGUGUUCACGAGCACUGCAUCAUAUAUUUAGAUGAUAACAUAAGGUGAAGUCUAACAUGAGGGAGCCAAUAGGUCCCUCAUGACAUGAGGGAGCAAAAGAUGCUUUUUUUCUACCUUAGGAUUAAAAUAAUGGAUUGAUCUACUCCACCUCAGCAAGAGAGCACAUACACCUCUCCACACU